GCUUGUUCAGAGUAAUAAAUUUAUUAAAAUAAAUAAAUUGUGCUGCCUACUUACAGAAGGUUGCUAAAAACACAGCAUAUCGAUCUAUCACAGUUGACAAUCUUAAUUCUAACAUUUUGUUGAGGUAAUUUUUCGUCGUUAUUUACAUAUUAAGCUAAGCUUACUCGCGUCUUGUCUAACUUAAACUCAUCAAACAAAUUAAUUACACUUGCUCCGAAUGAUCCCCGGCUGCCGAACCACAAUCCUCGGACUGACCAUUUCCUUACUCCAAAUGUGUUGGC